CGUCCCCUUCCACUCGCUCUCCUCCAUGAGCCAGAUCCCCACCUCCUCCGGCUCCCCUUCCACUCACUCUCCCAUGAAGGCCGAGAUGGACGUUCGAUGGCCUCGGCUCCCGGAUUCCGCACACCCACUCCGCUCCAUCUGCUCUGAUCUGAUUCGAUCUCGGCUUCCUCCCCAAGCCACGCGACGCGAGACCAGCUCCGGCUCCCGCUCCGGCCAUGGCGGCGACCAUCCAGUCCGUGAAGGCCGCCAGAUCUUCGGCAGCCGCGGCAACCCCACCGUCGAGGUGUCUAUGAAGCUUUGGAGCUGAGGGACGGUGGAUCUGACUAAUUGGGCUAGGGUGUUUCCAAUGUUUACAUUCGUUUGACCGAAUUAUAUACCACCGUAGAAUUCUACACCAUGUGGUGGACUUAAGUAUCUUAGUGACUUCAUUUGAUGUGUGUAUUUCUAUUAAUUUUAAGCUUCUGUUGCUCUGAAAAUGUACCUCACUGACCAUUUGUCUAUUUAUUGUGUACUUCUUGCAUGAGGAUGUGACUAGUGAUGCGACGCGCCAAGCAGCAGUAGGGGAAGGGGGUCUCCUUCUCGAGGAGGCGGAGUAGGGGCGUGCCCAGCUGGCAGCCCUGUCCUGCUCGUGGGGGAGGGGCAGGAGGGGUCUGCUCCCCUGCUUCCAUUGCGACCGUGGCAGGAAUCAAUGAUGCCGACCUCAUCGCUGGGCACUGUGCUUUUGGUGUAUGAUAUGGCUGGGAGAAAACACAUAGUUCCCUACUGAUUUAUUACAUAUCAGCCAGUACUGUACGAAGUAGU